UUGAAAGGGAAACGAUUGAAGUCAGUCGUACCAGCGGGAAAUCAACCUUUCGAGUGGUGUUUUGGAGUUUUGAAGUGUGUCAAAACCUUUGAGAUUUUAAAAUUUUCGCUCUUUUGGUGUACUUUCUCGUGGGUAGGUUAACAUCGAUUUUGAUCAUCAUAAAAGGACUGGAGGAAUGUAGCUUCGAUCUUGUAUUGAAGUGUUAUAGCCUUUGGUAAAUGUGAUGAUUAGGAUCGAGGAUUGCAACGAAUACCCUUCUGGGCUAUCCGCCUGAUCUCUGAUACGUGGCCUUGGCAUCGAAAGCUUGCUUAUGGUAUCAAGGUAUUACGGUCAAAAGGUUAGAACGGAUUACAUUCGUUAAGGAUGUUGACGUA
rnacentral:rRNA from 1 species